GCUUUUGAGGGGGACAGAAAAACAGGGCCUUCGGGUGGAAUGAGUUCAGGAGGGAAGAGGGACAGGAAAAGUAGGCUGCGUGGGCAGUGGUAGAGGGUUCGAGAAGGCGAUGUUCAAGGGCGUCCAGGCUGUGGUAGCAGGCUGGACUUAAUUCCAAGUGGUCCCUCUAACCUGUUGAACGUCCGAUCUACGACUCGUCCGGCUUCAGCUCCUCACCGCAUUUCUACCUGUGGAUCCGACUAGCUCUUGCAGGAGAUGCCUGCUCCCACGGCUGAUCCUCUGUGGCACAACAUCCUCGGAUGAGAGAAAAUGUAGAAGGCACAGGACUCAGAAGAGGGGAAAAGAAUAGCAGAGAAAGGAGGGGGAAAGAGGAGAAGAUUCUAUUCAGCUUUGACUUCCACCUCCUGUCACCAUCUGCUGGCAGCUGUGUGAGAAGGAAAGCAAGCCAGUGUCCCACACGGUUUAUCCCAAUGGAGAGAAGAAGAGACUCUUCGAGGCUGUUGAACAGCAAUUACGCUGAACUUAGGUUCAAGCAGACCGAGUUGAAGUCUUUUAAUUGGGUUGGAUAUUUACUUCAAGAGACUGAUUUUGAAAAUGCAAAUAGCUAGUUAUCUUGAGAGUGGUAAGAUGGAGUUUCCUCCCCUCGGUGAAAAUGGGGGCGUUAGAGAUAAGUUGAAUUCCAUGAUAGAGAGAGAAACCAUAUCCACCGGAGAUGUAGGCUGGGAAUUUUAAACCCAUCAUGCUACCAUAUACUCUCUCUGAAGCCGUAGGUUUUGUGUGUUGUGUGGUCAGAAGCAUUGCACAGAUGAGAGUGAACUCAUUGCUUCAGCCUCUGCAGUGUUCGUGGGUCCUGAAGAGGUACUCUUGCUACACUCGGUACCUCAGGGGGCAUUUUACUUCCUGGGCCCCUGGCUUGGAGGUUGCAGCACUUUUCAGCCUCUCCCAGCAGUCUCAGGGAUGGCACUGCUUGUUCGGAGGCUAGGACGCAUUAUCCAUCCAUUCAUCAUCUCAAUAUGACUUCAAAGGGGCCGAAGCCUUUAUCAGACAUGAAUGGUAUGCUAUUGCUGGUCUGUAAAUAACAUGCUAGAAAGGUGGUACUUACUUCCAGGAGCUCACUGAUGGCAACAAAGAGAGAAGCAGACUGACAGACGCCUCCUCAUCAGAACAUUUGAUAUGUAACCCAGGUCAAAUCUCCCAAACAACUGACCGCUUUUCCUUCUCCCUUGAUGACAAACGGCAGCAAGAGGCAGUGUACAAAGUCAGGGGGCAAGAGUGAGUCAGUAGGGAACGUGGCAUUGAAGCAGGAAGGGCACGGCCGUGAUGAUGGAAAAGAAGCUGUCUAAACAUCAGCUUGUCUGGGUGAAGGGCCGGGUCUGAUCUUUCCUUCUCGACCCUGUUCUCUCCCUUCCUGCCAGUUAAAGUUCACAGUUACUACUACGAAGUCUCUCCUGAUCCGAGGCCUUCUCACUUAGCCUGUGGGGAUGAGCAGUGGGAUAAAAACACUGGGCUCACGCUGGGAGCUGGGAGCUAAGGGACCGGGAAGUCAGAGACAUAGGAGGGUCUCCAUUUCCUUUCUCUCUAGCAGUCGGAAUAAAAGGUUUAAAGAGAAUUAUUGUUUGAAGCAGAAAAGUAUUGUCUGCCUCUGCUGAGGGAACUCUGUUCUUGCGUACCAAUUCUGUUCUCUAUCCCCAAUACAUACAAUGUUUUAUCAGCCUAAGAU